GACGAACGCUGGCGGCGUGCCUAAUACAUGCAAGUUGAGCGAUGAAGCUUGGUGCUUGCACCAAUUUGAAGAGCAGCGAACGGGUGAGUAACGCGUGGGGAAUCUGCCUUUGAGCGGGGGACAACAUUUGGAAACGAAUGCUAAUACCGCAUAAUAACUUUAAACAUAAGUUUUAAGUUUGAAAGAUGCAAUUGCAUCACUCAAAGAUGAUCCCGCGUUGUAUUAGCUAGUUGGUGAGGUAAAGGCUCACCAAGGCGAUGAUACAUAGCCGACCUGAGAGGGUGAUCGGCCACAUUGGGACUGGGACACGGCCCAAACUCCUACGGGAGGCAGCAGUAGGGAAUCUUCGGCAAUGGAGGAAAGUCUGACCGAGCAACGCCGCGUGAGGGAAGAAGGGUUUCGGAUCGUAAAACUCGGUUGGUAGAGAAGAACGUUGGUGAGAGUGGAAAGCUCAUCAAGUGACGGUAACUACCCAGAAAGGGACGGCUAACUACGUG
rnacentral:rRNA from 1 species